ACAGAGUGAAGAAAAACCCUGUGAAUGCAAACAAUGGCAAAACUCUCAGUUCCUUAAAUUACACGAAGGAAUUCAUACAGGCGAAAGACCAUAUGAAUGUAAAUAAUGUGGUAAAGCUCUUAGUUCUUUCAAGUCUGUAAAAGACUUGAAAGAACUCACACUGGAAUAAAAUAUGUAAACAAUGAGGUAAAACCUUCAUCAUCACUGUUCCCUUCAAUUACAGGAAAGAAUUCAUAGUUGAGAAAACUCUGUAUGUAUAAACAAUGUAGUAAACCCUCCAGAUUUACCUUGAAGACAUGAAAGGACUUGUACCAGAGAAAAAUCACUAUGAAUGUAGACUGUGGUAAUGCCUUCAGAGAUUGCAGUUCCCAUUAAGAAAUAUUGAAAGAAAUAAUUCAAGAGAAAAUGUGAACAGUACAGUAAAACUCUUAAGUUGUUCUAAUCUUAUGAAUAAGGAAAAUUGUGGCAGCCUUCAGUUUUUUCAGUUGUUUUUGAGAUUAUGGAAGGAUCUCAUUGAGCAAAGCUCAAUGAGUAUUAGAAGUGUGUUAUGGUCUUUAGUUGUUCCAGUUCCAUUUGAAGACUUGAAAAGACUCAUUCUGGAGAAGAACCCUGUUAUUGAGUGGAAUAUGGGAAUGGCUUCAUGUUUCUCACACCCCAUUCAAAGACACAUGAGAAUGCAUGCUGGAGAUAAAUCUUGUAAAUAUAAGAAUGGACACUGGAUUGAGCCCCUAGUGGUUUGGAAAAUAAAGAUUUUAACAAUAACAUUAAUAGUCAUGACAGCUUUCCUUGGAAAGAAAUCCUGCAAAGCCUAAUGGAAAGUCUUCUGGUGUAAUAACGCACGUGGGACCAGGUGCCGUGGCUCACAACUGUAAUCCCAGCUCCUCAGGAAGCACAUAUUGGAAGGAUCUGGGUUCAUGGCCAGCCCCACCCAAAACUUGGUGAGACAACAACAAAUGAACAACAACAAAAAACUGGGCAUUGUGGUGCUCCUUUGUCCUCCCAGCUAUGUGGAAGGUGUGUGGAGGAGGGUCAUGGUCCAGGUCAGCCUGGCCAAAAGUGUGAGACUGGAAAAAUAAGUAAAGCAAAAAGGGUUUGGAGUUAUGGCUCCAGUGUUAGCGUGCCUGCUUAUCAAGUGUGAGGCAAAAACCAAAAACAAACCCACUACCAACAAACCAAAAACAAAACACUAAGAGGUGUCAUUUCCUGUGAUUAUAGUGCCAUCAUCUGGGAUCCCCUUUACAGGGUCAGAGGCUUUUUUCCAUUAUAGAUUUGUUUGCAAGCAAGCAAAAACAUGAACAUUCCUCUCUUUUAAAGAAAACCUUUUGCUAUUGGGGGUCUGAGUUUUCAAACUGUUAAAGGAGCUUGUUGAGGUUGGCAGUAGCUUCUGCUAAACCCUUUUCUGUGAACUUGCUUGGGCUUCUUUCCCUUGUGCAGUGUCUUUUCUCUUGCCUCUUCAUCAGCUAUGCAUUUCAUAGGUGGUAGAAAUUUUUCAGCCCCCUUGAUAAGGUGACGGAUGACUCUUGUGUAUGUGAUCCAUUGUUACCCAAAAUGUUAUGCAGCGCAUGGCUGUGUUCUUCAAGCAGUAGUGCCUGAGUUGAAUAGGUAGUGAUUUUUAAGUCAGUUAAUAAAAAUUUUCUCUACUUUAAAAUGUGUUGGAUC
rnacentral:lncRNA from 1 species